UACGUAGGGUGCAAGCGUUGUCCGGAAUUAUUGGGCGUAAAGAGCUCGUAGGCGGUUUGUCGCGUCUGCUGUGAAAACUCAGGGCUUAACCCUGAGCUUGCAGUGGGUACGGGCAGACUAGAGUGCGGUAGGGGAGACUGGAAUUCCUGGUGUAGCGGUGAAAUGCGCAGAUAUCAGGAGGAACACCGGUGGCGAAGGCGGGUCUCUGGGCCGUAACUGACGCUGGAGGAGCGAAAGCCGUGGGGAGCGAACAGG
rnacentral:rRNA from 1 species